GACGAACGCUGGCGGCGUGCUUAACACAUGCAAGUCGAACGGAAAGGCGCUGCUUUUGUUGGUUGCUCGUGUGGCGCACGGGUGAGUAACACGUGAGUAACCUGCCCUUGACUUUGUGAGAACUUCAGGAAACUGGGGCUAAUACCGGAUAGGAGCUCCUGCUGCAUGGUGGGUGUUGGAAAAUUUCGGCGGUUGGGGAUGGAGUCGAGGCUUCUCAGCUUGUUGGUGGGGUAGUGGCUUACCAAGGCUUUGACGGUUAGCCUGCCUGAGAGGGUGACCGGUCACAUUGGGACUGAGAUACGGGCCAGAAUACUACGGGACGAAACAGUGGGGAAUAAUGCAGAAUGGGCGGAAGUAUGAUGUAGCGACGCGGCGUGCGGGAUGAAGGCCUUCGGGUUGUAAACCGCUUUGGCCUUUGACGAAGCGUGAGUGACGGUAAUGGGUAAGGAAGCAACGGCUAACUACGUG
rnacentral:rRNA from 1 species